rnacentral:rRNA from 1 species
CGACCAGACUCCUACGGGAGGCAGCAGUGGGGGAUAUUGCACAAUGGGGGGAACCCUGAUGCAGCGACGCCGCGUGGGCGAGGAAGUAUUUCGGUAUGUAAAGCCCUAUCGGCAGGGAAGAAGAAAUGACGGUACCUGACUAAGAAGCCCCGGCUAACUACGUGCCAGCAGCCGCGGUAAUACGUAGGGGGCAAGCGUUAUCCGGAAUUACUGGGUGUAAAGGGAGCGCAGACGGCAGUGCAAGUCUGGAGUGAAAGCCCGUGGCUUAACUACGGGACUGCUCUGGAAACUGUGCAGCUAGAGUGCAGGAGAGGCAGGCGGAAUUCCUAGUGUAGCGGUGAAAUGCGUAGAUAUUAGGAGGAACACCGGUGGCGAAGGCGGCCUACUGGACGGUGACUGACGCUGAGGCUCGAAAGCGUGGGGAGCAAACAGGAUUAGAUACCCCUGUAUA